UACGUAGGUGGCAAGCGUUGUCCGGAAUUAUUGGGCGUAAAGCGCACGUAGGCGGCUUUGCAAGUUAGAGGUGAAAGCCCGGGGCUCAACUCCGGAAUUGCCUUUAAAACUGCAUCGCUAGAAUUGUGGAGAGGUAAGUGGAAUUCCGAGUGUAGAGGUGAAAUUCGUAGAUAUUCGGAAGAACACCAGUGGCGAAGGCGACUUACUGGACACAUAUUGACGCUGAGGUGCGAAAGCGUGGGAGCAAACAGG
rnacentral:rRNA from 1 species